rnacentral:rRNA from 1 species
AUUGAACGCUGGCGGCAUGCUUUACACAUGCAAGUCGAACGGUAACAGGCCUUCGGGUGCUGACGAGUGGCGAACGGGUGAGUAAUGCAUCGGAACGUGCCCAGAGGUGGGGGAUAACGCAGCGAAAGCUGUGCUAAUACCGCAUGUGAUCUGAGGAUGAAAGCGGGGGACCAGGCAGCAAUGUUUGGCCUCGCGCCUUUGGAGCGGCCGAUGUCAGAUUAGGUAGUUGGUGGGGUAAAGGCCUACCAAGCCGACGAUCCGUAGCUGGUCUGAGAGGACGACCAGCCACACUGGGACUGAGACACGGCCCAGACUCCUACGGGAGGCAGCAGUGGGGAAUUUUGGACAAUGGGCGCAAGCCUGAUCCAGCAAUGACGCGUGCGGGAAGAAGGCCUUCGGGUUGUAAACCGCUUUUGUCCGGAACGAAAAGGCUCUGGCUAAUACCUGGGGCUGAUGACGGUACCGUAAGAAUAAGCACCGGCUAACUACGUG